GAUGAACGCUGGCGGCGUGCCUAAUACAUGCAAGUCGAGCGAACAGACGGUGAGCUUUCUCCUCUGACGUUAGCGGCUGACGGGCGAGUAACACGUAGAUAACCUACUUAUAAUACUGGGAGAACUACGUGAAGACGGAGCUAAUACCAGCGCAUAUAUUGUACGGCAGAAUUCAAUAGUUAAAGACGGUUUUCCUGAUUCUAUUAGAUGGAUCCGCGCCGCAUUAGCUAGUUGGUAAGGGAACGGCUUACCAAGGCAACGAUGCUUAGCGGACCGGAGAGGGUGAUCGGCCAACCUGGACCUGAGAAACGGCCAGACAUCUUAGGGGAGGAAGAAGUAGGGAAACUGGCGAAAUGGGCGAAAGCCUGACCGAGCAACGCGGCGUGAGUGAGGAAGGUCUUCGGAUCGUAAAACUCUGUGAUUAGAGAAGAACAAAUGUGUAAGUAACUAUGCAGGUCUGGACGGUACCAAAUAAGAAAGACACGGUUAAUUACGG
rnacentral:rRNA from 1 species